UACGAAGGGGGCAAGCGUUGUUCGGAAUUACUGGGCGUAAAGGGCGCGCAGGCGGCCGCUCAAGUCAGAUGUGAAAGCCCCGGGCUCAACCUGGGAAUAGCAUCUGGGACUGAGUGGCUAGAGUUCGGGAGAGGAGAGUGGAAUUCCCAGUGUAGAGGUGAAAUUCGUAGAUAUUGGGAAGAACACCGGUGGCGAAGGCGGCUCUCUGGACCGAUACUGACGCUGAGGCGCGAAAGCGUGGGGAG
rnacentral:rRNA from 1 species